rnacentral:siRNA from 1 species
CUCUGUUUAUAACACGUUAUCAGC